GACGAACGCUGGCGGCGUGCCUAACACAUGCAAGUCGAACGAACAGACGCGGAUUUUGUGCGUCUGUCGUUAGCGGCGGACGGGAGAGUCACACGUGUAUAAUCUACCUAUCAGACUGGGAUCAUCACGGGAAACCGGAGCUUAUACCGGAUAAUAUAUUGAACCGCAUUGUUCAAUAGUGAAAGUCGGUUUUUGUGUCACUUAUAGAUGGAUCCACGCCGGAUUAGCUAGUUGGUAAGUAAACGGCUUACCAAGGCAACGAUGCGUAGACGAACUGAGAGAGUGGUAGCCCACACGGGAAGUGAGACAGGGUCCAGACGCCUGCGGGAGGCAGCAGUAGGGAAUCUUACGCAAUGGGCGAGAGCCUGACGGAGCAACGCCGCGUGAGUGAUGAAAGUCUUCGGAUCGUAAAACUCUGUUAUUAGGGAAGAACAAAUGUGUAAGUAACUAUGCACGUCUUGACGGUACCGGGUCAAAAAGCCACGGCUAACUACGUG
rnacentral:rRNA from 1 species